AAUAGAUACCCAGGUAGUCCUAGCCGUAAACGAUGAACACUAGGCGUAGUCGGUAUCGACCCCGGCUGUGCCGUAGCUAACGCAUUAAGUGUUCCGCCUGGGGAGUACGGCCGCAAGGCUAAAACUCAAAGGAAUUGACGGGGGGCCCGCACAAGCAGCGGAGCGUGUGGUUUAAUUCGUCGCAACGCGAAGAACCUUACCAGGGCUUGACAUGUGGCGGAAAACGGCGGAAACGUCGUCCUCCCGCAAGGGACCGUCAUGCAGGUGUUGCAUGGCUGUCGUCAGCUCGUGUCGUGAGAUGUUGGGUUAAGUCCCGCAACGAGCGCAACCCCCGUGGCAUGUUGUAUCUCUCAUGCCAGACUGCCGAGAGAAACUCGGAGGAAGGUGGGGAUGACGCCAAGUCAGCAUGGCCCUUACGUCCUGGGCUACACACACGCUACAAUGGCCGGUACAACGGGUUGCCGAAACCGCGAGGUGGAGCUAAUCCCUUAAAGCCGGUCUCAGUUCGGAUUGCAGGCUGCAACUCGCCUGCAUGAAC
rnacentral:rRNA from 1 species